rnacentral:rRNA from 1 species
AAGGUGCCUUCGGGAACUGUGAGACAGGUGCUGCAUGGCUGUCGUCAGCUCGUGUUGUGAAAUGUUGGGUUAAGUCCCGCAACGAGCGCAACCCUUAUCCUUUGUUGCCAGCGGUCCGGCCGGGAACUCAAAGGAGACUGCCAGUGAUAAACUGGAGGAAGGUGGGGAUGACGUCAAGUCAUCAUGGCCCUUACGACCAGGGCUACACACGUGCUACAAUGGCGCAUACAAAGAGAAGCGACCUCGCGAGAGCAAGCGGACCUCAUAAAGUGCGUCGUAGUCCGGAUUGGAGUCUGCAACUCGACUCCAUGAAGUCGGAAUCGCUAGUAAUCGUGGAUCAGAAUGCCACGGUGAAUACGUUCCCGGGCCUUGUACACACCGCCCGUCACACCAUGGGAGUGGGUUGCAAAAGAAGUAGGUAGCUUAACCUUCGGGAGGGCGCUACCCACUUUGGAUUCGCUAGGCGC